rnacentral:lncRNA from 1 species
GGGGAGUAUUUCUUGGUGGACAGUAGAGCUUCUCAAAAAAGAAAAAGAAAAAGGAUCAAGUGAUUUAUACCUGAACUCAAACUUGAUCAUACCAUGAAGAGGCAAAGAAAAUCACUAAUUGAUACAUAACUGCGGGAUUGUAGGAUGAGAGAAAAUUGGAUGCAGACGAAUGUGGUGGUUUAUAAGAGGUUCUCGAUGACUUAAUAAUGUUCGGCCUAAUAUGUAAGACAACAACAUUUAGAAGGAGUGCCUAGAGCUGUUCGGGAUGACUCUCCGACGGUAAGUUAGUAACCAGAAAAAAAGAGCAAAAGAUAUGUUAUUAACUCUAGUUCUUAGAUAGAGAGAGUAGAUGGAGAGAGUGAGAAUUGCUUACUUAUGAGAGAGAAUAUGUCCUCUUUUACAGUGCAGCUCGAUGCGAGUGAGGACGCGCCAACUGCCAUGUCAGAGAGUAGGCGACUAAGCUAAUCGCAUCAUCGGUAUUUGAGCCCAAGCGUGCGGGUAGCAGAGAGAACUUGUCGUGUAUGUUACCAUCUGUCCUUGGAGCUUGGUUUGAAAAACUCCGUCAGGAUAAGCUCACCGACAGAGCUAUUGCAUUAAGAUGCUAUCCAAACUUUCUAUGAAACGACAGUCUGACAACGGGCUCCUCCAACUUGUCCAUGAGUGAAGCAAAUACUUUAUCGUCUUAUAAUUGUCCCUCAGCUCGCAUAUGCUCGGUCAACAACUGUAGAGUUUGUGUGAGUUGAUUGUUCAAGAACCUUGGUUUGAGAUAGCCCGAACGUAGGAGUUCGAUAGUAUUUGUAAAAUGUCCUUCUUAUGCCACGUGUUAGUAUCUGGUUUGCUAUGGAGUUCGAUUAAGGCACAAAACUCGAUGCGGCACACCUACCUUUAAGCGUGGAAAACUAAGCAGUUUGAGUUCCCCUAUAAAUAGGGAACUCUAAUCGACCUAUUGUUCACCUUGCAUCCUAAGCAUUAUUAGAGAGAAUGAAUCACACACUGUCAUCUCCAACAGCAUCUCCGUUGUCGGCGCCACUAUUUUCCUCCAUCGAUCGUCUUCCCAAUUUUUUGCAAUGUUUUUCAAUUCCUUAUUUAUUCGUGUUUGAUUUUUUUUGGAGUUAGCUGUGAUUCCCAUUUCUUGCCUUAGAUCGCCAAUUUUCAUAGUUUGCUAUUUUCGAAACGUUAGAGUUGCUAGUUUGAAUCUAUCAUGGUAGCUCGUUCGCCAUUGACGAGUAGUUGUUGAGCUUUCUCGAAAAUUGAGUGCUUUGAGUUGCCCUUUGAUCCAUUUCCACUCUUGAAAUGGGUCUGACUUGUGUUUGUGAAGCUAGAUCUCAUAAUGAUGACUCGACGGCAUGAUUAGAGGGUGUUUUGUCCUCAACACAAGAUCAACCUCUGCUAAAGCUAAUGAAGAACGCGAGGCGCAUGAAUGCCUUAAUGAUCCCCAUCAACCACACCAGCCGCACUCAGUGUCCGUAUAGCUAGGCCACGUGGGGUAGAGCUAACUAGAAACUCGUGCAGUUAAACUAGCUCUGCUUCAGUAUGUUAUCUACCAUUCACUUGAACUAAGCUAGGAGCUCGAUCGCAUUAUCGGGAGAGGGAAUAUCAACCACUAAAAACUUGGUCUCCAACUCUUGGGAACCAACUCGGAUUUUAAAAGUCACAAUUCCUAAGGGCCAGUGAACUUGAGCAUUGAACUUGACUAAUAGAGCUUAGGUUGACUUUAAAUCAGCCUUAGUCAACUUCAAUUAUUUAAAUAAAUCAUAAUACAUCACCUAAAAAUUGAACGUCUGAGUUCACCAUAAUUCGUUUGACAUCGAAACUAUGAAUCCUAUUCUCAAGCUCGAGGUCAUGUGAAUAGUUCCGAUGGAGAGGUCUUCCUCCAAGGUAUUGUUAGCAUCUUCCCUUUCUUGGUCAAACCUUGGAAUAGGUUUGGCCUCGGUUUUCUUAGCCUUUGUCUUCUCUUGUUCAACGAACAACUGCAAGUGCCCACCUUGCACCAACUGAUCCAUGAAAGAUUUCAAGGCUCUGCAAUUUUCUAUACUAUUUCAUUUCUCUCUAUGGUAGGCACACUUCCACCGCUGAUUCUUUUUUUUGGGAUCUGCUCCCAUUGGGAGAGGCUUCUUAUAGAAUAGCUUAUCCAGAUCUUGGCAAGGAGCUUGUAGAUCGGUUUCUUAAAAACCACAUGGACUCCCUGUCUUACCCAUCAUUCACCUUCCUCAGCGCUCUUCUUGUGCCGUUUGAACGAGCUUUCUCCUUAAAUGGACAUUCCUGCCACUCAUUCAACCCGCUUAACAUCAUCAUCCAACCUAGUGUAAUUACACCCGAGACAUAAGGUCUUAGAGGUCGAUCAGGGGUUAAGCGUCAAGUCAUCCCAAAGUUUUUCCCUCAAGCUUGUAGUUGACAAUCGCGAGCUCUUCUGAGCACAAUUCAAUUUCAUUGUACGACUCCCAAUACCUCAUGCUGUAAUUAAGGAAAGUCUUGUUCUUUCCCUUUCGAAGUGUCAUGA